GCUGUCAACUUUUCCCUUUUUAAAAGGGAAAUCCUAUUUGGAAUAAGGGAAUUUCCCUUUUAAAAAGGGAAACGUUGACAGC
rnacentral:miRNA from 1 species